rnacentral:lncRNA from 1 species
GCACGAGUGUCAAGAUUUUAUGCGUUACAGUAUGCUCAUGAUAUCUUCCCUGCGGUUUAUUUUGGGCGAGAUAAAAUCUGUAGCAAUUAGUUUCUCACAAGUCUAUUUUAUGCAGAAGAAUCUGUUAUUUCCUAGGCGUGUGAUUUCUUUGGUUUUACCUUUACCAUGAGUGUCUUCCUUCCCAGAUCUCUGCUCCCCCUUGGGGUUGGCAGUUGUCCUUCGCUUCUGCCUUCUGGGCUGUGCUCCGUCCCUUAAAUGCUGUUUGGGAAGACGUCAAGUGCAAAUGAGGAAGCUGCUGUAGGUUAGUGAGCCAUACCCAGGACCGAAAUAGAAAAGUGCUGGUACCAACAGGAAAUGAGAGAGUGUGUGUGCAAAGAUGAGGCUAUGGUUGGGAUUUUGUAUUUUAAUCUUGUCUGAAACGUGUGUAUUUCUGUCAUGGGAACCAGCAAAGGACGUAGAAACAGGUAGCGUAAGACCCCUUAAGAUAAAGGGAAGGAGUCCAUUGUUUGCAUAGAGCAGGUGUCUAUGGGCGGUCCACUUUCUCUCUUUGCGUUUCUUCGAAUUCUUCAUUUGUACUCCAUUCAACCACUUGUAAACCCUUGGUCAAACUGUUAAUUGAGACGUAAAUUCCAUUGUAGGUAUCCCUGCGAUCGAAGGAAAUAAAAAUUCUGUCUCUCUGGAAUUAGGAAGAGCAUGCAGAACGUUGAAAGGGUUUAAGAUGGACUAAGCAGUGGAGCAGCAGAAAUCAUGGAUCACAAGUGUCUCUGUAAUCAGGCUGCACCGAGACAUUUCUCGGCAUUUCUGAUGUUUCAACCCUACCCCACCUGCCAGGAGGAGGCUCCAGCCCGCCAGGAGGGCAGGAGGCCAUUGCUGCUGCCACUCCAGAACCUCAUAAGGGUUUAUUGUCUGCCCACAGUGUAUUUGUCAAGCUCUCCUACUAGCCGAUCAGCUCUUCUCCCAGGUGGACCUCCUGAUCCUCCGGAACCUCCUGGGUC